CCAGUUAAUGAUGAGAAGUCCUAUUUUCUCCAUAAGUUUGUAACAAUCUAUUGGAAAAGGGACUAGAUUCCGAGAUGAAUUAGAAGUAAUAUGUAUAUGGCUUAUAGUCUAUACACUAAUUGCUUUGUUCAUCUUAUCUAUUACAAUAUCGGUCGUUAAAUUUCCAUGCUUAUUUCUUGGUAGAACAUGGUUUUCUAUUUAAGGCGACAUUUAUUUUUCCUGUUGUACGCUUGGAUGAUUAUAAGAAUGUUAAAUAUGUGCAGGAUGUUAAUUCACUAUUUGAUAUGUUUGUUUCUGCUAUUUUUCAUAUCUGGGUUUGAACUUUGGUAAACAUUCCACCGAGUAUUUUGAAUGGCUUUGUGGCACUUCUUUCGGAUGGAGGAUUUUAACAAAAUUUGAAGCGAAGACAUGACCAGGAUAUUGAUUGUAGGAGGGAAAUAAAAGGGAAAUGAGACCUGUAAUAUACACGAAGUAAUAUUUGUUUACUUUGUGUUUCAUUUACUGUAAUAUUUGUGAGAUGAAUGAAAAGUAAGCUUAGAUCUAUAUAUCCAGAUAUCAGUGUACAGCAGCAGUACUGUUAAUCUUGCCAUGCUA